CUGUGCGUGUCAAAAAAAAAAAAAAAAAGAGAAUCCGUUUUACUUAAGCCCAGAUCCGUUGUCUUGGGUAGCAUGGUCUGGGAGGCGGUGGCAGAGGCUGGAGGGGGAGGCUGGGGGGCGGGGUGUUUCUGGCAAGGGCUCCGGGAGCCGUGGGUGCUCCCUUGGUGGCUGUGGGUUGGUGAGUGGCAGCUCGGCUGGUUUCCCAGCGACUGACUUCCUGUUGUUGGCAGUGAAUUCUAGAGCAGAGGGAGAAACCAGGACUUGAGGGCUUGGGGGUGGUCUUGGCGGAGGUCGUGCAGCUAAGGAUGUGGGGCUGAGGCUGCCCUAAGUUCUCCAGGUGGGCCCCAAGCCCAGCCCCUGUGCUCAUCAGACAGACGAGGGCCAGGGAGAAACGAAGGAGCAGCACGGAGCCCAGCUGCCCCGGCCCCCGGCAGCUGGAGGAGGCCUGGGGCAUCUGCCAGGCCUCCCAGAAGCCAGUGAGGGCGAAGUGCAGGGCCCUGGACAGGGCCGAGAGCUGUGCCCAAGGCCAGGGCUGGCGGGGGAGCCGCUGCCCCGUGUCCUGCUCUGGGCUCUCCCCGGAGAGAGCUGCUCUGAGGGGAGGGGGGACCCCUGCCCAGCAGAGGGCCGGGGGCCCAAGGUGGCCUGUGCGCACGUCCCUGCAGACAGGGCCUCGUGCAGCAGGUCUGGAACGGCGCCCAAGAGCCCACUUGGCUUGGGGACGUCUGUGGACACAGCCUCCGGGGGCUCUGCGCCGCUCAGCUGCAGCACCACGCCCGCCCCCAGCCCCUCAGCGAGAGCCAGGCAGGGGCCCAGCCGCCAGUCUUCGUCAUAACACAGGGGGCUGGCAGGAGCGGUCCACCCCAGGCCCAGCAGGGGCCGGGCAGAACGAGGCCAGGCAGACUGGCCUUGGGGGACCUGACCGAUGGACGCGUGGCCGACUCAGCUCCUGGUGCAAAAUCAGCCAGAACGGGGAAACCCACGGGUUACGAAGGGCUCUCGGCAGAGCCUGCUGCUGCUUUCAGCGCUGUGUGUUAUCUGUGCAAUCGAGAGGCAGAGGGACAGGCAGGGACACGGACAGAGCUCCCCUCUGCUGGUCACUCCCCAGAUGUCUGCAGCAGCUGCGGCUGGGCGGGGCCGGGGCGGGGGCGGGGCUGGGGGGCGGGGCCGGGGCACGCAGCCCAGUCUCCCACGGCAGCUACCUGAGCGUCCCCACCGCCUCCAGGGUGCACAUCGGCAGGAAGCUGGAGCCCGGCACUGGGAUUCUGACCACAGACCUCACGUGGUGGGGCCUGCGCCUCCCUCAGAAGGGGUGGGGCUGGCGCUGGGGGAGGGGCGCCCGACCCGUGCUAACUCUGUCUCUUCUGUUUGAAGGAAGGAGCCUCAGCCCGAGCCGUCGCCAAGCCAGAAGUUCAGUUUGAAAGAUCGUGUCUUCUCCAGCCCCCGUGGCGCGGCCGCCAAGGGGAAGGGGUCCCCCCAGGCCCAGACCGUCCGGCGCUCGCCCAGUGCUGGCCAGAGCCUUGAGGACAGUCCCAGCAAAGUGCCCAAGAGCUGGAGCUUCGGGGACCGCAGCCGGGCCCGCCAGGCCUUCCGGAUCAAGGGCGCUGCCUCGAGGCAGAACUCAGAAGGUGGGUGUGGCUGAGCGGCUGCUGGGGAGGCCCAGGCACCCGGCCAGGGGCCACGGCGGGGACGGGGUGGGGGGCGUGGGCACGGGGCCUCGGGGCCCUCUCAGCAUCAGGAUCUCGCGUUUGCUUUUGGAGCAGGGAGGUCCGUCUGUGUCUUCUGUGAUAAAAUUCAUGUAAAAGGAACCAUUUUAUUUAUUUUUAAAGAUUUGUUUAUUUGAAAGGCAGAGUUUUGGAGAAAGAAAGAGACAGAGAGAGGGAGAGGUCUUCCAUCCACUGGUUCACUCCCCAGAUGGCCACAACAGCCAGGGCUGGGCCAGGCUGAAGCCAGGAGCUCCAUCCGGGUCUCCCACGUGGGUGCAGGGGCCCAGGCACUUGGACGUCUUCCACUGCCUUCCCAGGCUGUUAGGAGGGAGCUGGACCGGAAGUGGAGCAGCUGGGCCUCACCUGUGGCCCACACGGGAGCCGGCAUCGCAGGUGUAGCUCAUUUACCCCGCUGCCCACGGCACCGGCCCCCGAGAUCAGCCACUGUCAGAGCGCAGCUGGUGACGUCCCAACAGCAAGACCUGUGCCCAGUGUGGCCACCCUUUCCCCUGACCAGCUCCGGCUGCGGCCGCCUGCUCCCCGUCUGCUUGUCCAGUGCCGCCGUGUGCCCUGAGCCGCCCCGUCCUGCGGGCACGUGUGUGCCAGAGCGUGAGCGUGUGUGUGCACACAUGUGCCUUUUGGCUGAGUGACAUCCACUGGGUCCAGUGUCUGCCAAGGGCCGCGGGGAGGCGGGACGGAGGGCGGGGUCUGAGCC
ensembl:lncRNA